rnacentral:rRNA from 1 species
GAUGAACGCUGGCGGCGUGCUUAACACAUGCAAGUCGAACGAACUCAAGGAGUGCUUGCACUCCAAGAGUUAGUGGCGGACGGGUGAGUAACGCGUGGGUAACCUGCCCUAUGCAGGGGGAUAACGCUUGGAAACGAACGCUAAUACCGCAUAAACUAUCGGUAGUCGCAUGACUGCUAUAGCAAAGAUUUAUCGGCAUAGGAUGGACCCGCGUUGGAUUAGCUAGUUGGUGAGAUAACAGCCCACCAAGGCAACGAUCCAUAGCCGGCCUGAGAGGGUGAACGGCCACAUUGGGACUGAGACACGGCCCAAACUCCUACGGGUGGCAG